rnacentral:rRNA from 1 species
UCCAGACUCCUACGGGAGGCAGCAGUGGGGAAUAUUGCACAAUGGGGGAAACCCUGAUGCAGCGACGCCGCGUGAGUGAGGAAGUAUUUCGGUAUGUAAAGCUCUAUCAGCAGGGAAGAAAUAGCGACCUUUGGGUCGCCAGACGGUACCUGAUUAAGAAGCCCCGGCUAACUACGUGCCAGCAGCCGCGGUAAUACGUAGGGGGCAAGCGUUAUCCGGAUUUACUGGGUGUAAAGGGAGCGUAGACGGCAGCGCAAGUCUGAAGUGAAAUGCCGGGGCUUAACCCCGGAACUGCUUUGGAAACUGUGCAGCUCGAGUGCAGGAGAGGGAAGCGGAAUUCCUAGUGUAGCGGUGAAAUGCGUAGAUAUUAGGAGGAACACCAGUGGCGAAGGCGGCUUACUGGACUGUAACUGACGUUGAGGCUCGAAAGCGUGGGGAGCAAACAGGAUUAGAUACCCCUGUAAAC